rnacentral:rRNA from 1 species
CCUACGGGAGGCUGCAGUGGGGAAUAUUGGUCAAUGGGCGAAAGUCUGAACCAGCCAUGCCGCGUGCGGGAAGAAGGCUUUCGGAUUUUUAAGCUGCUUUUGUAGGGAGGAGGAAGGACGGUACCUGCAGAGGAAGCAACGGCUAACUACGUGCGAGCAGCCGCGGUAAUACGGAGGUGGCAAGCGUUGUUCGGAUUAACUGGGCGUAACGGAUGCGUAGGCGGUUAAACAAGUUAUAUGUUAAAUAUAUAGGCUUAACCUGUAUAAAGCAUAUGAAACUGUUUAACUAGAGUGCAGGUGCGGUAGGUGGAAUGCAUGGUGUAGCGGUGAAAUGCGUAGAGAUCAUACAGAACACCGAUGGCGAAGGCGACUUACUAGACUGUGACUGACGCUGAGGCAUGAGAGCAUGGGGAGCAAACAGGAUUAGAUACCCCUGUAGUC